AUGGAUGACAACCUCAAAGUGAUUUUCUGAAACGUGCGUGGGCUCAAUAAUGCGGCCAAGCGCACGGCUGUUCGCUCUGUUAUUGCUUCGGCAUCACCUUGUAUUGUUUGCCUCUAGGAACCUAAGCUUGCUUUGGUCUCGUCCGCGCUUGUUUGUGAGACUCUUGGCCCCGCUUUUGAUGGGUUUUACUGGCUUCCCAUGGAGGGCACUCGCGGUGGCGUCAUCCUUGCCUGGAAUAGUGCUUUGAUCUCCCUGUCUAACCCGAUCGUUGGUGACCACCAUGUCUUGGCUGUGGUUACCACCACCCCCGGUGGCGCCCACUGGUGGAUUAGUGGCGUA
rnacentral:rRNA from 1 species